UUUUUUCUCUAACAGCUUUUACAUUUCAAGAAUAUGCAAAGGGAAUCAUCUCCCAUUCCCAUACUUGGCUGACCGCAGGAGCAAGCUUGGUUAUAGUAUAUCAUCCUCCUGAGCAUUAUUACAAUCCAGAAGAUGGAAGUGGAUAUCUGGCAUGGAGAAUAAAAACCCUGCAGAAAGAAGCAUCAGAGAGACGGAUGAAACGCCAACGGAAACCACAAACAGGUGCGCCAACUACUGGCAGGGAUCCCUUCAAAGCCGCGUGGCCUCACACAGACUAGUGAGCUCCAAGACCUUAUCCAAAAUGCUGAAGCCUCCAGUGUAUGACUGAUAGACAACAACGGUUUGACUG